rnacentral:rRNA from 1 species
AACGAACGCUGGCGGCAGGCUUAACACAUGCAAGUCGAGCGCCCCGCAAGGGGAGCGGCAGACGGGUGAGUAACGCGUGGGAAUCUACCGAGCCCUAAGGAAUAGCUCCGGGAAACUGGAAUUAAUACCUUAUACGCCCUUUGGGGGAAAGAUUUAUCGGGGUUUGAUGAGCCCGCGUUGGAUUAGCUAGUUGGUGGGGUAAAGGCCGACCAAGGCGACGAUCCAUAGCUGGUCUGAGAGGAUGAUCAGCCACAUUGGGACUGAGACACGGCCCAAACUCCUACGGGAGGCAGCAGUGGGGAAUAUUGGACAAUGGGCGCAAGCCUGAUCCAGCCAUGCCGCGUGAGUGAUGAAGGCCUUAGGGUUGUAAAGCUCUUUCACCGGUGAAGAUAAUGACGGUAACCGGAGAAGAAGCCCCGGCUAACUUCGUGCCAGCCGCCGCAGUAACAC